AUUGAACGCUGGCGGCAUGCCUAACACAUGCAAGUCGAACGAGUGGCGGACGGGUGAGUAGUGUCUGGGAAACUGCCUGAUGGAGGGGGAUAACUACUGGAACCGGUAGCUACUACCGCAUACCAUCAGAUGUGCCCAGCUGGGAUGAGCUUGUUGGUGGGUUAACGGCUCACCAAGGCGACGCUCCCUCGCUGGUCUGAGAGGAUGACCGGCCACACGGGAACUGAGACACGGUCCAGACUCCUACGGGAGGCAGCAGUGGGGAAUAUUGCACAAUGGGCGAAAGCCUGAUGGAGCCAUGCCGCGUGUAUGAAGAAGGUCUUCGGGUUGUAAAGCACUUUCAGCGGGGAGGCGGUACCCGCAGAAGAAGCACCGGCUAACUCCGUGCCAGCAGCCGCGGUAAUAC
rnacentral:rRNA from 1 species